rnacentral:rRNA from 1 species
GUUGACCUCGGAUCAGGUAGGGAUACCCGCUGAACUUAAGCAUAUCAAUAAGCGGAGGAAAAGAAACCAACAGGGAUUACCUCAGUAACGGCGAGUGAAGCGGUAACAGCUCAAAUUUGAAAGCUGGCUCUUUUAGAGUCCGCGUUGUAAUUUGUAGAAGAUGCUUCGGGUGUGGCCCCGGUCUAAGUUCCUUGGAACAGGACGUCAUAGAGGGUGAGAAUCCCGUAUGUGACUGGGUGCUUUCGCUCAUGUGAAGCUCUUUCGACGAGUCGAGUUGUUUGGGAAUGCAGCUCAAAAUGGGUGGUAAAUUUCAUCUAAAGCUAAAUAUUGGCCAGAGACCGAUAGCGCACAAGUAGAGUGAUCGAAAGAUGAAAAGCACUUUGGAAAGAGAGUUAAACAGUACGUGAAAUUGUUGAAAGGGAAGCGCUUGCAACCAGACUUGCGCGCUGAUGAUCAUCCGGGCUUCUGCCCGGUGCACUCGUCUGCGCUCAGGCCAGCAUCGGUUUCGGUGGUGGGAUAAAGGCCUUGGGAAUGUAGCUCCUCCCGGGGAGUGUUAUAGCCCUCGGUGCAAUGCCGCCCACCGGGACCGAGGACCGCGCUUCGGCUAGGAUGCUGGCGUAAUGGUUGUAAGCGACCCGUCUUGAAACACGGACCAAGGAGUCUAACAUCUAUGCGAGUGUUUGGGUGUCAAACCCAUACGCGUAAUGAAAGUGAACGGAGGUGAGAACCCUUAAGGGUGCAUCAUCGACCGAUCCUGAUGUCUUCGGAUGGAUUUGAGUAAGAGCAUAGCUGUUGGGACCCGAAAGAUGGUGAACUAUGCGUGAAUAGGGUGAAGCCAGAGGAAACUCUGGUGGAGGCUCGCAGCGGUUCUGACGUGCAAAUCGAUCGUCAAAUUUGCGUAUAGGGGCGAAAGACUAAUCGAACCAUCUAGUAGCUGGUUCCU